rnacentral:rRNA from 1 species
GAUGAACGCUGGCGGCGUGCUUAACACAUGCAAGUCGAACGAUUAAGACCCGCUUCGGUGGGUGUAUAGAGUGGCGAACGGGUGAGUAACACGUGGGCAACCUACCCCUCACUUCGGGAUAACUCAGGGAAACCUGAGCUAAUACCGAAUACUCCGCGAUGGUCGCAUGGCCAACUCGGGAAAGUUCCGGCGGUGAGGGAUGGGCCCGCGGCCCAUUAGCUUGUUGGUGAGGUAAUGGCUCACCAAGGCGACGAUGGGUAGCCGAGCUGAGAGGCUGAUCGGCCACACUGGGACUGAGACACGGCCCAGACUCCUACGGGAGGCAGCAGUGGGGAAUCUUGCGCAAUGGGCGAAAGCCUGACGCAGCAACGCCGCGUGCGGGAUGAAGGCCUUCGGGUUGUAAACCGCUUUCAGCAGGGAUGAAACUGACAGUACCUGCAGAAGAAGCCCCGGCUAACUACGUGCCAGCAGCCGCCGUAAAAC